CCUACGGGUGGCAGCAGUGAGGAAUAUUGGUCAAUGGGCGAGAGCCUGAACCAGCCAAGUCGCGUGAAGGAUGACUGCCCUAUGGGUUGUAAACUUCUUUUAUCUGGGAAUAAAACCCGGUAUGUGUCCCGUCUUGUAUGUACCCUAUGAAUAAGGAUCGGCUAACUCCGUGCCAGCAGCCGCGGUCAUACGGAGGAUCCGAGCGUUACACGGAUUUAUUGGGUGUAAAGGGCGCGUAGGUGGGUUAUUAAGUCAGUUGGGAAAGUUUGCGGCUUAACCCUAGAACUGCAUUUGAUACUGUGAGACUAGAGUAAGGGAGAGGUAGGCGGAAUUCGUGGUGUAGCGGUGAAAUGCGUAGAGAUCAAGAGGAACACUCAUUGCGAAGGCGGGUUCCUAGACAAUAACUGACGCUGAGGCACGAAGGCGAGGGUAGCGAACAGGAUUAGAUACCCGAGUAGUC
rnacentral:rRNA from 1 species